CUACUUACCUGGUCGAGGUCAAUGGGCGAUCAAGAAGGCCCAUGGCUAGUCCUGGUGACAUCCAUUGCUCUCGGUAGUCGAGCCUGCUCAUAAUUUGUGGUGUGGGAGGCCUGCGUUCGCAUAAAAGCCUA
rnacentral:snRNA from 10 species